AAAGCCGAAUUAAAAUAAUUUGGCAAACCAAGACAAGCAACUAAACUCGUGUUCGCCUUAUGUCUAAAAAAGCAAACCGGGGCUCACAAUUCACCUCUUAUUUUACUACCUAAAGUAGCUCAGAAAUUCUGGUUCUUGCUAAGUUGGUAUUAGUGGUGUGGUUGUAGAAAUAGCGCAACGCAAACAACUUUUUUCUGCGCCAAAUUGUUGAGAUUUAGGCGACUUUAGAUAGGAACAUAAAGGAUAAAAACUCUAGUGA